UGGGGAAUUUUGGACAAUGGGGGAAACCCUGAUCCAGCCAUCCCGCGUGUGCGAUGAAGGCCUUCGGGUUGUAAAGCACCUUUGGCAGGAAAGAAACGUCAUGGGUUAAUACCCCGUGAAACUGACGGUACCUGCAGAAUAAGCACCGGCUAACUACGUGCCAGCAGCCGCGGUAAUACGUAGGGUGCAAGCGUUAAUCGGAAUUACUGGGCGUAAAGCGUGCGCAGGCGGUUCGGAAAGAAAGAUGUGAAAUCCCAGAGCUCAACUUUGGAACUGCAUUUUUAGCUACCGGGCGAGAGUGUGUCAGAGGGAGGUGGAAUGCCGCGUGUAGCAGUGAAAUGCAUAGAUAUGCGGAGGAACACCGAUGGCGAAGGCAGCCUCCUGGGAUAACACUGACGCUCAUGCACGAAAGCGUGGGGAGCAAACAGG
rnacentral:rRNA from 1 species